AACGAACGCUGGCGGCAUGCCUAACACAUGCAAGUCGAACGAGACCUUCGGGUCUAGUGGCGCACGGGCGCGUAACGCGUGGGAAUCUGCCCUUGGGUUCGGAAUAACAGUUAGAAAUGACUGCUAAUACCGGAUGAUGACUUCGGUCCAAAGAUUUAUCGCCCAAGGAUGAGCCCGCGUAGGAUUAGCUAGUUGGUAGGGUAAAGGCCUACCAAGGCGACGAUCCUUAGCUGGUCUGAGAGGAUGAUCAGCCACACUGGGACUGAGACACGGCCCAGACUCCUACGGGAGGCAGCAGUGGGGAAUAUUGGACAAUGGGCGAAAGCCUGAUCCAGCAAUGCCGCGUGAGCGAUGAAGGCCCUAGGGUUGUAAAGCUCUUUUACCCGGGAUGAUAAUGACAGUACCGGGAGAAUAAGCCCCGGCUAACUCCGUGCCAGCCGCCGCCGUAAUAC
rnacentral:rRNA from 1 species